UUGAUUCAUUUUUUUUCUCGCUCGAAAGCCACUCAGAUAAAUCCGCUAAAAUAGCACAGGAGAGUUUGGGUCCCCCGGCGGGCGCUGUGUUCCGGGGCUGGCCUCGCGGCCGCCCCCGGGGCUAUCCCGCCGAAGCAACAGAAUGGUAAGGUUCGCAUGGGGUUUGGGAGUUGUAAACUCGGUAAUGAUCCCUCCGCUGGUUCACCAACGGAGA
rnacentral:misc_RNA from 1 species